rnacentral:rRNA from 1 species
UACGGAGGGUGCGAGCGUUGUCCGGAAUCACUGGGCGUAAAGGGCGCGUAGGCGGCCUGGUAAGUAGGGGGUGAAAUCCUGCGGCUUAACCGCAGGGCUGCCUUCUAAACUGUCAGGCUUGAGCACAGUAGAGGCAGGUGGAAUUCCCGGUGUAGAGGUGAAAUGCGCAGAUAUCAGGAGGAACACCGGUGGCGAAGGCGGUUCUCUGGGCAUUACCUGACGCUGAGGAGCGAAAGUGUGGGGAGCGAACAGG